UUCAUGGCGGCUACCACAUGCUAUGCCUACAGAUCAGUUUACUUGCGUAAAUUCAGUUUAGUGCUUGGCGCACAGCAAAUUCAGAUUUUGCCUUUUGGAACUUUCUAGAUUUUGUUUUUUUUUUUCCAAAUAUUUUAGAUUUGUUUGGUUGGACUCACAAAUGCGGAACCUGUGGAUAUGGAAACACCGACUAUACUAUUAUGAGCGAAAGACUUCACUUUUUGAUUGUUAAGAAAUGAGCAAACCUUUCAGAAGACAUCUUAUCACUUUGUCAUUAUGGGUUA